rnacentral:ncRNA from 1 species
AGAGGCGGAUUUUGUCCGCCUCAAAACGUAGAUAGAUUUAAAAUCUAUUUAAACAAGUAAAAAAGUUCUACUCACUCAACAUUCGAUUUCCAAUUUUCGCGAGCGAAGCGAGCCUCAUCAGCUACUUUUCGCUGUGGUAAAAGUAUCGUCAUUACUGAUAGUGACGAUACUCGGAAAUGUUGAGACCCUAGGCUCAACAUCUCAACAUUUAGGUAUGGAAUUCCGCAGGAAGUCGCUACCGUCCGCACCACCUAAGAAAAGUAGCGCAAAAGAAUUUUUUCUUCAAUCUGAGGCGGAUUUUGUCCGCCUUUUG